rnacentral:rRNA from 1 species
AUUUGUUUAACUGUGGCAAUAAGAAGUUUUGUUUCAUUGGCUGCAUGAAGUUUGUUUGUAAUUUGUGAAUUAUGUUUUCUGGUUGUUUUAUCAGCAGUUAAUUUUUUGUUAAGAUGAGAGUCUUGUAAGGAUGAUGCAGUUUAAGGGGAUAGGGCACAGUGCCAGCAUCUGCGGUUAGUCUGUUUUCUUUGCUUUUGAGUGGAUUGUGUUAUGUUUAUUUAUGUGCAAUUUUAGGUUAAAUUUUUUUGUGGUAGUGUUGAGUGAAUAAAUAUUGUUAUGAUAUAUGUGAUGACAGGGAUUAGAUACCCCAUUAAUGUAUUUUGUAUGAUUAUUCUAGUUUUAUAACUAAAAGGGUUUGGCAGUGAGCGAUUCUUGUUAGGGGAAGAUGUGUAGUAAAGGAUGGUCCACCUAUUAUUUUACUCUUGUUAUGUUGGUGUAUAUCUGGUUUAAUAUUAUUGUUGAGUGAUUUAAGUUUGUGUAGUUUUAGUUAAGCUAAGUCUAUGUGCUGCUUAUGAGAGUUUUUGUGUGUUACAUUGAUAAGUGUGUUGUUGAAAGAGAACAUGAUUUAGGACUUAAUAGUAAUGUUGAAAUGAGUUUGUUGAUGUGAAGUGAGUUUAGCUCAGGUACACACCGCCCGUCACCCUCGGUUGUUAUUGAGGUAAGUCGUAACAAGGUAACUUUAAAUGAAUUUGAAGUUGGUUAUUAGGUUGUGCUAAUUGAA